GCCUCCUUAGCUCAGCGGUAGAGCAAUUGUUUCGUAAACAAUAGGUCGCAAGUUCAAAUCUUGUAGGAGGCU
rnacentral:tRNA from 1 species